GAUGAACGCUGGCGGCGUGCCUAAUACAUGCAAGUCGAGCGAACGGACGAGAAGCUUGCUUCUCUGAUGUUAGCGGCGGACGGGUGAGUAACACGUGGAUAACCUACCUAUAAGACUGGGAUAACUUCGGGAAACCGGAGCUAAUACCGGAUGAUAUUUUGAACCGCAUGGUUCAAAAGUGAAAGACGGUCUUGCUGUCACUUAUAGAUGGAUCCGCGCUGCAUUAGCUAGUUGGUAAUGUAACGGCUUACCAAGGCAACGAUGCAUAGCCGACCUGAGAGGGUGAUCGGCCACACCGGAACUGAGACACGGUCCAGACUCCUACGGGAGGCAGCAGUAGGGAAUCUUCCGCAAUGGGCGAAAGCCUGACGGAGCAACGCCGCGUGAGUGAUGAAGGUCUUCGGAUCGUAAAACUCUGUUAUUAGGGAAGAACAUAUGUGUAAGUAACUGUGCACAUCUUGACGGUACCUAAUCAGAAAGCCACGGCUAACUACAUG
rnacentral:rRNA from 1 species